rnacentral:lncRNA from 1 species
AGCUUAUUAGCCAAAUCCUCACCUUCCUUUGCAGCCAUUAAUAUUUAAUAAAAAUAUUACUAAAACGUACCAACUUCUGUGAAGUAAAACAUCAAAACACUUUUAAGAUGGAAAAUGUAUAUGGGUGGUUGUGUCACGUUGAUGGCACUGUUGUCUUUUUACCACCACAAGAAUAAUAUAAAAGAACCCAGACAUACACCCAAGAGUAAUGGAACCGCUCAACUGGCAUGCCCACAAUACAAUACCAAAGAUCAUGUUAAUUGCUAGGGAAAAUGUAUUUGAGAAUAAGAGGUAGCAAUUGUUUAUACAAAUUCCACAAUAAUAGAGAACAGGAGGUAGCAAUUGUUAACAUAGUGUAACUAGGACACCAAAAAUUAACCCAGCCAUUCCAACAGCAGCAACAACAACAAAGAGAUAACCCAGUCGUCCCAAAAUACUACACGCGCACAAAUGUUUCAGUUUCUUUCAUACUCCAUCUCUCUGUAUUCUUUUAAGCUACCUGUACAGCUGCAAUGCAAACAAAGAUAUUGCAGUGUUUUUACAUAAAAAAUUUGUUCCAGUAAAAAAUGUCAAGAUCUGCACUUGAAACACUAAAGCACAAAUGUUAUACUUUUAAAAGCAAUACUAAUCUCAAACAAAUAUUUAAAACUGCUCAGACAACUUGGUGAUAAACUUCCUAGUUUCUGUAGCCAUCUUAAAACUCAAAGACAAAGAAGAUGGCACAUGAAUUUGAUCUUCAUCACCAACAAAGAGAAAGUGGAACACUUUUCCAAAAAGAAUAUGCAGUAUCUCUAUAAUGGUUGCAUACAUCAUCAACUAUAACUGAAUUUCACUUAGAGAUGAAGCUAGUAUAGUACUAUUAAAAGUGUACCUCUUCGAUGAAAUAGCGAACUUGGUCCUGCCGUACAAGCCAAAAAGGAUCGGUGCAUAAAUAGACCUGUCAAAACCACCAAUCUGCUACUGUAAGUAGGAUGCCACAGGCACCACAAAUGCAUAUCAUGAAUGGAAGGGGAAUAAUCAGCGUUACGUUAUGCUCCUAAAUCGAUUUAUCAGCGUUAUGCUCUUCUCCAUUUUACUCCUAAAUACUUCACUAUUAAACCAAACAAAACAAACAUGCUCAAAAGGAAAGGGGGAAUAAUCCCUGAAAACCAAAUGAAAAAAGAGACCCAAAUUACUAAAACACGAUAGCUGUUUCAUCCAAUAAUCAGAAAUCCAUAACUCCAUAGAUUAACUGAAGGUUAUUUUGUCAAACCCAAUUCGCAGAACACAACUAGUGCAAUUCGAAGAACAUAACUCCAUAGAUUACAUUUUUGGCAAGAUACCCAUAAAUUCAGACAAAACUUAUCUAGGUCAUGUGGUGAAUUGAAGAAAUCGGAAGCCUUUACGUGUCUCAAACAAUUCAAAUUCAUGAUUUUUACAACACAACUUAUAAAAUUAUGGUUUCUAUAGACAAGACUAACAAAUAAGAAAAGCUUACCGGAGGAAAGGAAGUACCGCGAAUAUCUAGGAUUGCUUGAACUGAUUCGGGUCAGUGGCAGGGGAAGAAAUCGAACACAGCUUCAUUCCUUUUGACCGAAUCAGAUGAGGGAAAGGGGUUUACUUUGUCUGAAAAUGAGAGAGAAAUAAGAGGGGCUUGCACCGAAUUUGGAGCUUCGGUACUUUCGCCCUAGAUUUGAAGGGAGAGGAGCUCUGAAAUCGACAAAUCGAACACAACUUCGUUACUUCCGUAACGAUUGUCUGAAAAAGCGAGAGCGCCAUGAAAGGCUUACAGGCAUUACCUUCCGAUUCUCUUUGUAGGAAUCGUUAUCUUCCGAUUUGCAACAGCUUCUAUUCGAUCACCUUUUGCCUUCCGAUUUGCUUCAGGAUCGCUUUGAGAGAGAGGGGGACAGAGUUGCUUUGAGAGAGGGAGGGAAGAGCGAGAGAGAGCGGAUGGUUGAAACUGAUUUCAAAUGGAUUUUUCACCUGUGACCCGCGUUCUUUUUUCUUUUUUUUUCGUUUCAGCUCGUUUUUUUGUUCAGUCCGUUUUUUGUCCGUUUAUUUAGUCCGUUUGUAAAAG